rnacentral:rRNA from 1 species
AACGAACGCUGGCGGCAUGCCUAACACAUGCAAGUCGAACGAGACCUUCGGGUCUAGUGGCGCACGGGUGCGUAACGCGUGGGAAUCUGCCCUUGGGUUCGGAAUAACAGUUGGAAACGACUGCUAAUACGGGAUGAUGACGUACGUCCAAAGAUUUAUCGCCCAAGGAUGAGCCCGCGUAGGAUUAGCUAGUUGGUGAGGUAAAGGCUCACCAAGGCGACGAUCGUUAGCUGGUUAGAGAGGAUGAUCAGCCACACUGGGACUGAGACACGGCCCAGACUCCUACGGGAGGCAGCAGUGGGUAAUAUAGGACAAUGGCCGAAAGCCUGAUCCAGCAAUGCCGCGUAAGUGAUGAAGGCCUUAGGGUAGUAAAGCUCUUUUACCCGGGAUGAUAAUGACAGUACCAGAAGAAUAAGCACCGGCUAACUCCGUG